AGCAAGUGGAGAUAAUAAGUGUUUAUUGCUUCAGUCAGUGGAGUUCUCAAUAACCUUUAAGUAUCAUCUUCAAAAUUUUCAAAAACAUAUGAUUCAGGCCUUGGAGAGAGUGUGUACAAGGGAGAGUCUUUCACGGGAUGAAUUGAAUUCUACCACUUAUGGAACAAAAUCCGUAUGCCUCAGUUUUUCUGUUACUAAGCACUGGCAACUCCACUUGCAUAUAUAGGAGCUGGCAAAGAAGAGAGCUGCUGCACAGGGAGAGGUCACACUUGUGAAUCAGGGAACAGUAAGUCACUAGACCUGUGUGGAAGGAAGGCAGUUGGUAGGGAGAAGAAUAAGGGGAAGUGAAUAGGAACAUCCUUUACUGAAUUCUCUAACACCUCUACCCUCCCACACACACACAUUAAAAUCUUCAUAAUACGCUUUUUAUUUGGAUAUAUUGCUUUUUAGUUAAUGAUUAUGCACUGUAUUAGGUUCUGGUACCUGGGUUUUGUCAGUUUGACUUGAGUAUCUUAUUGCAGACCCUAUUUCAUCUGUAAGAUAAUGCUGGCGAUCCUUCUCUCACUUCAGAGGCUGUAAGUAAUUAUUCAUAAGGUACUUCAGUGAACUUAGCAGUAGACUGAAACAUGACUAUGCCACUGAUAUGUGGAAGGAUUUUUUUGUUUUUGUUUUUGUUUUUUAUCAAACCUCAUUGCAAGGACCUGGAGAUAAUCCAGUUUCAGAAAAAACAAUUUGUGAAAUGUGAUUUGAACUCCUAAAGGGGAUUUGCCAGCACAUGUAUUUUGUUAAUGCUGUUUCUAACCAAGUUGAUCAGAAGAUGCAGGCUGCAUCUCUAAAUUGGUCACGACAUAUAUGCUUCAGCUGCAUUCACUUAGUGAAUCCCUUGAGUUAAAUCCCUUGAGUUUAUCUCAGACACCUACCACCUGGGACCCAUCUCCAGACAGAGCUUUUCUUGUUGCACAGGUCUGGACCCUUCUGUUUCAUCUCAGAAUAAAUAUUUCAGCUCUGAGGCUUUGUGUCUAACUGAAUUCCAUGGUUCACUUGUUGGUUUGCUUUACUUUUCAGCACAAAUCAGUUUACCGAGCUAGCUGUUGUUUGGACUGGCUAAUUAAAAUCUGUUCAUUGUGUACAGGCAGCCUUCAAGCCAAAUAUCGCUUUGCACAGAAUUUGAAUAAAAAUGUGACUUUUUUAUUCAUUAGAACAGAUGGGCAUUGUGAAUUACCCCUAGCCAGUCUGACUCUUGCUUUUUAAAUUGCAUGCUUUUGUGAAAUAUACUCCAUCUUGAAAGAUGAGUGCCCAGAAUCCCCAGUUUUUGAGGAAUCCUAUGGAAAGGAUUGAGAACAGCCCUGAUAUCACCUUCAUGGUGGCAGGUCACAAAGAGAUGCACCUAUAUAGCAUGGCCUCAUAGGAUGCAUGAGAAUUCACUGUUAAAACUAUUUUUAAAAUCAAAUCUCAUGCCAAGUAGAAACCCAGUUAUGGAAAUUUUGCUAACACAGCCAUUCCUCUGACUGGGGACACUGUAGGUGGCCGGUUUAAAAACCAGUAUUGUCUCAGAUUGUUAACUGCAUUGAACUGCGAUCUCCAUCAACAUCAAACAUCCAUCCACUUAUGUAAUAUUUUUGGUACUGUAUUUUAGGGGAAGCUCCAUAGUAUUUCACUAAGGAAUUUAGAAUCUUGUUGAUAAAAUAUAGGCAAACAAGUAAUUCUACUAUAAUAUGAUAAGUUGUCUCUCAUAACCAAGAUACAGAAACCUGCAGAAGGCACAUGUUGAAAGAGGGGAGAAAUAGAGGGAGAUGGUAAAUUAGCUUUUGGGUGUUCACAGAGUACUGAGGUUGAAGGAUCUAAUAAGCAGUUCUAAAUAGGACUUUUAAGACAGAUGAGGGACACCUUCUUACAGGAAGAUAUUAUUUCAUUACAUCCCUACUAGAGGUCAAGGCACAGUGCAAAUAGGCUUUGAUAGGAGAGAGAAAUAAACAAAAGGUUGGGAGUGGUGGUUACCAUGUUAUGAUACCAGGUUGAGCUGAUGUCCAAUUUUAUUUAGAGUAGGCUGUUAUCCCAACACUAUGUCCAUGUUUUGGAAAUUUUCUCAGCGAUUAAGCGGCAUAUGAAUCUUUCUGAGAAGAGCACUUGCUCAUGGAUUGAGUAUUCAUUUAGAGGAGAAUAUUUUUAUCCAGGUUCUUAGAAUAUAAUAUUUGCAGUGUUAUCUGAACUAAACAUAAUUAACCCUUCUUAUUUGUGCUUGUCUUCCCAGAUCAUGAAAGAGACAAUUUGAAACAUUUCAACUAGUAUGUAUAGAUGGAAAUGAAUGAGUGUCUGAAAUAUCUUAUUUAUAAUGUAGAACUGAACAGAAAUGAUUGAUAGCAUUUAGUUUUGCAUGUGACUUCUUGGAAAGAGGAAAUUGAGGAUGUGUCUCCUUUUGUGUUAAGAGUGAAAUUCUCUCCCAAAUGAUUUCAAGUUAAAGAACAUUUUAAAACUAGUGCCAUGAAGAAAUUUUGAGAUGAAAUAGAAUGUCACAGGAUACAAUAAAUAUCAAAUUAUCAGAACUGCAAGGAAUUUUAGGGAGAUUCAAUUAUACAGAAGUCUCACAUUUUUCAUUUUAGAGCAAUUAUGAAGUCAGAACAUCUUGACUUACCUGAUUAUGCUGAUUGGCUCUUCAGCAGCAUUUUUAUUUUCUCACAAAAUUUUCUAUUCCCAAAGACCUCCAAGUUUUAGUACCUAGCUGAAUGAACUACCAGUGUCCAGAAAUAAAUGCCAACCUCAGAAGUGCCCCUUAUGUUUUUUAUAUUACCAUUUUACUAAGCCCAGACUUGUCAUAGGAGUUUGAAAACAUUUCAGUGGUCAAAGAAAGGGCAAUUUGCUCAUUUAAACCUCUUUAAAUCUCAUUCUGUCCUUGAUGCAAAAGUGCUGACCUGAAUUUGUAAGAAUAAAUGGGAUGUAUCUAUUUGACAGACCUGGGGCAGAUACUGUCUGCUGAGGUUUCACCACAGAUGCAAGAAAAAAGUGUUCUCCCACUUCCUGUCUGUCUGAUUGUGGCACCCAAGACUGAAGAAUACAGGAGUAAACCAUGGAGAGGGAGUACAACAGAAAUAACCUUGUAACAGUGAAGAGUCUGUUGUAUUCUAAAGAAGAGCCUAAAAUUUGAGUUUACACAAGAAGUUUUGGAAAAUUUAAACUUACCCUAAAGUUUAACUUACCUUUAAAAGUAAAAGCAAGCCAUUGACUAUCAAUCAAUCAAUCAAACAGCCUGGCACGAUUUAAUUCAGCUGUCAAUCUUAAAAGAAACAGCAGAUUAUGAAGCAAAUUAAAUUUGCAUUCCAGCUGUGUUUGACUGUGUUGGCCUCCUCAUAGAUUACCCUGUUCUGUGCAGUGGCUCCUCAGGAAGUGCCCUCUUUGUAGACAAAUUCUCCAUGGCAGGUCACAAAUAGACAGAUCUGUGUUUAUACAUAAAAGACCAUAACAAGUCAAUUUUUAAAAAAAUCUCUUAAUCUUGUAAAUAGAUUGGCUCUAAAUAACUUUUCAGGUAGAAAUCUUCAAAUGAGUGUUAUUUAUUCAAUAGUGAGAAUAGCAACUGUUUUUCAUAUCUUUUCUCACAUUUCUAUUAACCUGAAAAAUAGCAUAAAUUUCACCAGACUUGAACAACUCAAUGAAAUUGAACAAGUAAUAAAAAAACUACCAACUAAGAAGAGCCCAGGCCCUCACAGGUUCACUGUCAAAUUCUACAAGCAUUUUAGAUAUGAUCUAGCACUAGUGCUCUUCAAACUCUGUAAUGAAAUUGAAAGAGAAGCAGUACUUCCAAAGUAAUUCCUGGAAGUAAGCAUUACCCUGCUUCGAAAGCCAGAAAAGGACCCAACUAAGAAAGACAACUGCAGACCAAUCUCUUCAAUGAACAUAGACACAAAAAUCUUCAGCAAGAUACUGGCAAAUAGAAUGCAACAAAUCAUCAAAAAGAUUAUACAUUAUGACCAAGCAGGAUUUAUUCCAGGGAUGCAGGGAUAGUUUAGCUCACACAAAUCAACAUAUGCAAUUCACCCCAUAAAUAGAAGCAAGGACAAAAGCCAUACGAUCAUCUCAAUAAAUCCAGAAAACGCAUUUGACAAAAUUCGGCAUCUAUUCCUGAUUUAAAACCCUCAAGAAAAUAGGAAUAGAGGGUCUUUAACUUAAUCUAAAAACCAUCUGUGACAAAUGAAUGGCCAACAUCGUAUGUAAUGGUGAGAAGCUGAAAGAUUUCCCUCGAAAUCAGGAACAAGACAAGGAUA